GAGAGAGUGUGGAGUUAUUACUGCAUUAAAAAAUCUCCGAAGUCAACUAAAUUCACCACGGAAGCUGAGAACCAGAAUUCUUCUUCAUUACAGCAAGCCCACACCCUCUGUCACCGCAGUGCCGCCGGCAUGUCCAAGCUCUGAGCUGCAGCAUCCAGAAACAUCAGCACCAAAUUGCCGGCAAACAAUGCAGCGAGCGAGCAGCGCUCCGCCGGUCCGAACCCGGGGGUUCACCCAUCACCGCACGCCGACGGCUCUGACAGCACCAAACAACAGCAGAAAUAGCAAUUUCUCACCGAGCAUCGCGCCUGACAUCUCCCCGACCUGUGAGCAGCAGGGACCCUGCACACAGGUAGAGCCUGUUUGUUUGCCGCUGCCGCAGUUGACACUGCUGAUUAGAGGAGACAGGCAGACGGGUGGACACGGCGCAAGGGGUCAGCGAUGGGCUGCUCCGCCUGACCCCCGCCGAGCGCCGCUGCUCCGCAUCUGCAGCUAAAUAAACCGAGUAAA